CAGAGAUACAGCCUUGAAGAUGGGGAAGUCAGCAAGAAAACCAGCAAGAACCAGUGAGAAACUGCAAAGUGACCAAAAGAAGAUAGGGGGCAAGUUUUACGCAUGCACUCUUAGCAGAGAGGCAUGUAAAUGAAUGAAAUGCAUAGGCGAUACCAUGCUAAGGAAGCAACCAGUAAACAGAGGUGGAGCUUGAGAUGGGAGGAAAAUGGGUGGGACCAAAGGUGGGACGAGGCAGGAUAUAUGUUCAUAUCUAUGAACCAAGAUGUAUAAAUGUUCGAAAGAACUGUUGUUCAGGGCAGGUCCCCAGUUGUUGUUUUUUGGGACAUUGUCCAAAACUGUCUCCGUUCUGAAUGAAGCUGUUGCAAGCAAUGUGUGCUGGUGUUUGCUCCCUGCUUUGCUUUGGCUAAUGAGUACCAGGAUCCAUGAGCAAUUGGACCAUCAUCUCCCUAGUCGCUGGAUGCCGCAUGGAGUCCGGGUCUAACAACCCCCACUCAAGAUUUGCAAGCGCUUCACAAGAGGAAUGUGCCUCAUAUCGUUGGUUUCCUCACCAUGCAAAGAAGUUGUGACAUGGAAGAACAUAACUAUCCUGGAAAAUGUUUCCUUUAAGCAUAUACACUGUCAAGGAUUAAUUAUGACUUUUUGCAACUAUUAAAAUUAUUCUAGUAUA